rnacentral:rRNA from 1 species
AUGACUUUUGUGCUUGCACANNAUGAUUAGUGGCGAACGGGUGAGUAACACGUGAGUAACCUGCCCCUGACUCUGGGAUAAGCCUGGGAAACUGGGUCUAAUACUGGAUAUGCACCGUANACCGCAUGGUUUUUGGUGGAAAGAAUUUUGGUCAGGGAUGGACUCGCGGCCUAUCAGCUUGUUGGUGAGGUAAUGGCUCACCAAGGCGACGACGGGUAGCCGGCCUGAGAGGGUGACCGGCCACACUGGGACUGAGACACGGCCCAGACUCCUACGGGAGGCAGCAGUGGGGAAUAUUGCACAAUGGGCGAAAGCCUGAUGCAGCGACGCCGCGUGAGGGAUGACGGCCUUCGGGUUGUAAACCUCUUUCAGUAGGGAAGAAGCGAAAGUGACGGUACCUGCAGAAGAAGCGCCGGCUAACUACGUGCCAGCAGCCGCGGUAAUACGUAGGGCGCAAGCGUUAUCCGGAAUUAUUGGGCGUAAAGAGCUCGUANGCGGUUUGUCGCGUCUGCCGUGAAAGUCCGAGGCUCANCUUCNGAUCUGCGGUGGGUACGGGCAGACUAGAGUGAUGUAGGGGAGACUGGAAUUCCUGGUGUAGCGGUGAAAUGCGCAGAUAUCAGGAGGAACACCGAUGGCGAAGGCAGGUCUCUGGGCAUCUACUGACGCUGAGGAGCGAAAGCAUGGGGAGCGAACAGGAUUAGAUACCCUGGUAGUCCAUGCCGUAAACGUUGGGCACUAGGUGUGGGGGACAUUCCACGUUUUNCGCGCCGUAGCUAACGCAUUAAGUGCCCCGCCUGGGGAGUACGGCCGCAAGGCUAAAACUCAAAGGAAUUGACGGGGGCCCGCNCNAGCGGCGGAGCNUGCGGAUUAAUUCGAUGCAACGCGAAGAACCUUACCAAGGCUUGACAUGUGCUAGAUCGCCAUAGAAAUAUGGUUUCCCCUUUGGGGCUGGUUCACAGGUGGUGCAUGGUUGUCGUCAGCUCGUGUCGUGAGAUGUUGGGUUAAGUCCCGCAACGAGCGCAACCCUCGUUCUAUGUUGCCAGCACGUUAUGGUGGGGACUCAUAGGAGACUGCCGGGGUCAACUCGGAGGAAGGUGGGGACGACGUCAAAUCAUCAUGCCCCUUAUGUCUUGGGCUUCACGCAUGCUACAAUGGCCGGUACAAUGGGUUGCGAUACUGUGAGGUGGAGCUAAUCCCAAAAAGCCGGUCUCAGUUCGGAUUGGGGUCUGCAACUCGACCCCAUGAAGUCGGAGUCGCUAGUAAUCGCAG